rnacentral:rRNA from 1 species
AUCGAACGCUGGCGGCAGGCCUAACACAUGCAAGUCGAACGAGUGGCGGACGGGUGAGUAAUGUCUGGGAAACUGCCUGAUGGAGGGGGAUAACUACUGGAAACGGUAGCUAAUACCGCAUACCAUCGGAUGUGCCCAGAUGGGAUUAGCUAGUAGGUGGGGUAACGGCUCACCUAGGCGAAGAUCCCUAGCUGGUCUGAGAGGAUGACAGGCCACACUGGAACUGAGACACGGUCCAGACUCCUACGGGAGGCAUCAGUGGGGAGUAUUGCAAAUUGGGCGCAAGCCUGAUGCCGCCAUGCCGCGUGGAUGAAGAAGGCCUUAGGGUUGUAAAGUACUUUCAGCGGGGAGGCGUUACCCGCAGAAGAAGCACCGGCUAACUCCGUGCCAGCAGCCGCGGUAAUUC